AUGUGCGAGCUAUCACAGUUCUUUCGGAAAAGGCUCCUUUAAUAUCCUGGGCUUCUGCUAGUCUAGUCCCCAGUCUCUCUCUCUCUCUCUCUCUCUCUCUCUCUCUCUCUCUUUCUCUCUCUCUCCCUCCCUCCCUCCCUCCCUCCCUUCCUCCUGUUAAGCCAGUCCCUUCUGGUGGGAGGGCAAGUGUGGUACAGUCUUCUAUUGUGUGUGUAAAACAGAGCCCUAUCAGUGGGGAAGUAACGAUAACAUUUGUAGUUGUGGAAGCGAAGAUAACAGGAAUCAGGUCUCUGCUCUGGGGAAGAAAGGAAUGGCCUGAGCCUCACCAGGGCCUGGGUGUUCUGCUGAGAGGUAAUCUGACCUCUAGAAUGGAAGGCAGGCGAGCUAAUGUGUUCAUUGCGGCAGAGGCCAGUGGCGUGAUAGCAUCAGUCUGCAGCCCAUUUGGAUGUCUUACAGAAAGGUGCUAGGCUGGGGCUGCCUUUGCUGAGCUUUGCGGAGAAUGCCCGGGUGCCGCAGGCUCUGCAGUCUGCAGAAAUCCAGAAAAAAAGGGAGACCAGGAGGUAGGCUGCUUGCACACAGGAAUGUGGCUGAAUGCCGAGACCCUAUUCUAUUCUCCUGCCUUACCUGGUCCCUGGUUCUUCCAUUGCAGUGAGUCACCUGAGCACUGAUUGACAGUGGGUCCAAGUUCCAAGCAGCAGCCACAAGGCUGCUGGACCUGCUACAGCAUCUGCGGUGAGCUCCUCAUUUUCAUGAUUGCUGUGGCCGGGACCAGCUGUGAGCACUGGAGACGACAGAACCUCGUCCAGGCACCAGCCGCUCAGUACAGGAGAGCCAUCUCGGCGGAAGGUCUGCAGACUGGGAAUGCUGCCUCCCCAGAGGAAAACAAAGGCUGUGUCUGCAAGGACAUCGAGUCUGGAGCUGGAAAACCUGGAGCUGUUGGCCCCUCCACUCUGGUUUCUUUAAAAAAAGGCUGAGCUUUCUGGAAUCGACUGGAUGAAAUGAGCACACGGAGCGGAGCUGGCAUGUGAAUGAUGCUGUCUGCUGACCAAGUUGUUGCUUGAAUGAGGUCCCGGGUUAGCCCUGUUAGGCAAUGCUGAGAACACCUGACGUGGCACUAUCUACAAUAGCCAAACACCCACCAAGAGAUGAGUGGAAGAAGAUGCGGCAUAGCCAUACCGUGGAGUAUCACUUCACCAAAGAGACGAUACAGCACCAACACCCACUAUAGUGUGCUGAAAAAAGCCAGAACAACCAACUACAAACGGGAUGGCUUUCUUUAUGCGAAAUAUCACGGACGUGCAAAUCCCCAGGUUGAAAUUACCCAGGGAAGAAGGCACGGGGGAAGGGGAAGGGACCGCUGAGAGGCAACAGGGUAUCUUUUAGGAAAGAUGAGAAAUCCUAGAAUUCGUGGCAAUGGAGGACCAGUCUCGCGGAUGUACUUAGUGGGGCUGAAGUGAUUCAUGUUCAGUGUUAAUUUUGCCCCA